rnacentral:lncRNA from 1 species
CACGCCAGCCAGCCAGCCACCUGGAGUACCACUCACACACCCACGCACGCCAGCCAGCCAGCCAUCCGGAGCAUCACUCACCCACGCACGCACGCCAGCCAGCAGGAGCACCAUUCACCCACGCAGGCACGACAGCCCGCAAGCUGGAGCACCAGUCACCCAUCCACGCACACUAGCCAGCCAGCCCGAGCACCACUCACCCACCAACCCACGCCAGCCAGCCUGCCAGCCUGAGCACCACUCAACCACCAACCCAAGCACGCCAGCCAGCCGGAGAAUCACUCACUCAUCCACGCCAGCCAGCCAGCCAACAGGAGCACCACUCACACACCCACGCCAGCCAGCCAGCCAGCCGGUGCAGAACUCACCCACCCACGUCAGCCAGCAAGCCAGCCAUAGCACCACUCACCCACCCACGCCAGCCUGCCAGCUGGAGCAGAACUCACCCACCCACGUCAGCCAGCCAGCCAGCCACGGCACCACUCACCCACCCACACCAGCCAGCUAUCCAGCCGGAGCACCACUCACCCACCCACCCACGCCAGCCAUCGAGCCGGAGCAUCACUCACCCACCCACGCCAGCCUGCCAGCCGGUGCAGAACUCACCCACCCACGCCAGCCAGC